rnacentral:rRNA from 1 species
GACGAACGCUGGCGGCGCGCUUAACACAUGCAAGUCGAACGGAAAGGCCUGCUUUCCCUUGUGGAUUGCGGGUACUCGAGUGGCGAACGGGUGAGUAACACGUGAGUGAUCUGCCCCCAACUUGGGUAUAAGCCUGGGAAACUGGGUCUAAUUCCCGAUAGGACUGCAGGGUGGUGCCUGUGGUGGAAAACGAUUUUCUAGUGGUUGGGGAUGAGUUCGCGGCCUAUCAGCUUGUUGGUGGGGUAAUGGCCUACCAAGGCGGCGACGGGUAGCCGGCCUGAGAGGGUGGACGGCCACAUUGGGACUGAGAUACGGCCCAGACUCCUACGGGAGGCAGCAGUGGGGAAUAGUGCACAAUGGGCGGAAGCCUGAUGCAGCGACGCCGCGUGGGGGAUGACGGCCUUCGGGUGGUAAACUCCUUUCGACCGCGAGGAAGCCACCUGGUUGGAAGGGUGGUGACGGUAGUGGUAGAAGAAGCACCGGCUAACUACGUG